rnacentral:rRNA from 1 species
AUUGAACGCUGGCGGCAGGCUUAACACAUGCAAGUCGAGCGGGGAAAGGUAGCUUGCUACCUGACCUAGCGGCGGACGGGUGAGUAAUGCUUAGGAAUCUGCCUAUUAGUGGGGGACAACAUCUCGAAAGGGAUGCUAAUACCGCAUACGUCCUACGGGAGAAAGCAGGGGACCUUCGGGCCUCGCGCUAAUAGAUGAGCCUAAGUCGGAUUAGCUAGUUGGUGGGGUAAAGGCCUACCAAGGCGACGAUCUGUAGCGGGUCUGAGAGGAGGAUCCGCCACACUGGGACUGAGACACGGCCCAGACUCCUACGGGAGGCAGCAGUGGGGAAUAUUGGACAAUGGGGGGAACCCUGAUCCAGCCAUGCCGCGUGUGUGAAGAAGGCCUUUUGGUUGUAAAGCACUUUAAGCGAGGAGGAGGCUACUGGUAUUAAUACUACCGGAUAGUGGACGUUACUCGCAGAAUAAGCACCGGCUAACUCUGUGCCAGCAGCCGCCGUAAAAC